CAUCAUCAAAAAGAAACAAACUGCAUAGAUUGUAAAAUAAUAAAUGCAUGUUCAAGAAGAGAGUAAAUCUAUGUUGCUGCAAAAUAAAAUAUGUUUGUCAGGGACGAUAUAUAAUUCUUGGUAUCUCUACGGCAAAGGACGCGUACCGUAGGGAAACUCAGUAUGAUGAUCCGCAGGUGCAAUUUCCUCGUCCUAUUCCGGACGAAGUUAUCAGCGUUUACGAGGUUUACGUAAAGGAGGAGUCAGGCCCGGACUCGAGGAGCGGCGAUACAUCGGAUGUGUCGGGAUUAGGGUCCCUAGCCGAUCAGCAAUUAAUCCAAGUAAUUAAUCGCUGCGAAAGUUUUAUCAAUGAGAACGAUUUGCGAUCAUGUAAAAUCACUUUCAAGGAUGAUUGCAUGGACCUGGAUGCAGCCAUAGAUUCCGAAGUGAUCAAUAUCGACGGCAGCGUCACGAAACUCCUUGGCAAGGACGCGUUAAGGUACAAAAUUCUCGAGCAGAACGUUAACACGCCGGACGAGAAUGUAGUUGUAUAUUCACAUCCUGUUGCUGAAGGACCUUCGUCCACGACAACGCGACUUAUCGAUAAGGAUGAUCCGCGAUCCAGACUGCAUUUUGUAAAAUAUCUAAAACGCGACGGAAAAACGCUCAAAAUCUGGGAAUGCGGCAUUUGUUCAAAAGAGUUCCGUCACCAGUACACCCUGAUGAGACACUUGCCGACCCACACCGACGAGAGAAACUUUAAAUGCGAGGCUUGCGGCAAGGCUUUCCGCCAGUUGUCAACAUUGAGUCAGCACAAGGCUAUACACAGCGAUGCUAGACCCUACGUAUGCGAAUUCUGCAAGAAAACGUUUAAUAGGGUGUCUACGUUAAUCUCUCAUCGAAAAACGCAUUCGGAACACAAGCCACACAAGUGUCACGUAUGUGGUAAAGGAUUUCAUCAAAAGGGCAAUCUGCGUAAUCACGUAUUCACGCAUACGAACGAGCGGCCAUACAAAUGCGAGCUCUGCGGCAAAGGCUUCAAUCAGAUGUCAAAUUUGGUCUGUCAUAAGGUGAAAGCGCACGCACACGCCGACAAGAUGCAAUAUUCAUGCGGAGUCUGCGGAAAGGAGUUUCCGCGUAGAUUCGCCUUACGAUCGCACGAGGAGUACAAGCACGGUAUAAAGUAUCGAAGCACGAGCAACGCGCAAUCUGCCGUGAACGAACCCAGUACCGCAAAAAGCAAGAACGUUAGGAUCAUACAAUUGUUCAAUGGCGAUCGAAAUCAAACGAGCGAAAGCAAAGAGAAGGAUUAUUUUGGCUCAUCGGACUUAAUAGACAGCAUUGUGAUAGACAAAAUCGAAACAAAAGCGAUGGAGAUUGCAUUACUCCAAGGCCAGACUCCCUUUGCUCUUUAUAGACCCAUUAAGGGUAUACCGGUACUUGUUAAAGUUUUACCCACUGCAAGUAAUAAGCACAUACUUACACCUGCGACUGCCGAAGAUUUGCGAAUGGCGGGGAAGAUAACUUCAAAUCCUACCGAGUCUUCAGACGCUGAUGGCAACAAGGCUGUUCAGGUAAAAGUACCGGUAGUUGCCACAGUGAUACAGAAUAUCGAAACUGAUGGCAAAUCCAGCUUCGUCAUCGAGCCUCCCGGAGCAGAACAGGAGCAAGAUGAUCUAGUGACAGCGUUAGACUCGCAAUUCUCUCUCUCUGAGCUUCAUCCCGACGAAGCGGUCCGUCAAAACAGUGCGAAUUCAACUCCGUCAAUGGACGAGUGUAACGAGUUGCUGGAGCUGGCUGCGCAAGGUGGAAUACAAUUCGUUCGCGCUACGGAGGACGGUCGUUACGAAGUUAUGACGAGCAGCGAGGCCCGCGACUUAAUGGCGCAGAAUUCCCACGACGUAACGAUUCUUGACAGCGAACAGGCGGAUGCCAUCAAUCUUGUGAAUAUACGCAAUAACGGUGACGUCAUCAUCGGCGACAACGAUAAUCAGAUCAUGGUGCUGGAAUCCGGCCAGAAAUCCAGCAGUAUGUCAAUGGACGGUAUCGAGAUUCUCGAGGACAAAGACAUUAGGAUUCUCGAGGGUAAAAGCCUCGACGAUCGUUUCGCGGAUGGUAUAACAUUCCUCUCUCAGACCAAAAUCGAUGAUCUCCUGCUGGGUCCAAAAUCGUUGGCUAUUGACGGCGAUAGCGCCCUGGUCGGGCACGACGAUGCCAUGGUCGUACCGUCGAGUCAGCAGGACCUAACGAGCAUCUUGGGUCAUUCUUCGAACCUAUCUACUAGCUCUCAAUCCUCAUUAUCGUCUCUAUUAAUGAAGAACCAUCCGCCAUUGUCGUUGUUGAACGAGACAUUCCCAUAUCUGAAGAGCAGUCAAAGCUUCGCGGACGAUCUAAAUAUUCUCGGCGUCUCCCCCGUGACAGAUCAUCAUUUGGAGUACGACUCAAAGAUGAGAUUGCCCUCGGUCUUCGACGACGACUGUGAUACCGGCUUAAUAUCAUUCGGUCAAUCGGACAUAAAGAUGCUCGACUCCGGAAAUCAAUGCAUUAAGCCUUUCAGUGACAAGUUUUGUUUGCCGCCUCCCAAGAUGUUCCCCGGUCUGAACGAAGUGAAGAUCUUGGGGCCGAAGAAUCAUAGUCACGAAUUGGUCGCCCCACAUUAUCAAGAUAAUAGACUUCUCGGUCCUUUUGAGCAAUUCCUUAAGAACACUACCAUGCAAACGAGUGGUUGCAUAUCUAAUACUAUCGAUGCGUUCGAAGGGUGCAGAAAAGAAGUGAAGAUACUCGGUAAAAAGCUCGGCACCGGCAUUAUUACUACGACCGAGGAAGGUGAUAUUGUCAAAGUUGUCGAUGACAAUUCUAAAUUCGAAACGAGCAACAAUGCAAUGGAUCUCUGUGACAACGCCUUACAGCAGUGUACGACCAUGUCACCGAGACGAUUGCACCGGCAGCCGUCGAUGGAGAGCGACGUUGCGGAUAGCUUCUUGCUCCAAGCCGGCAGCCCCUGCUCGGAUUUUCUGAAUUUCGGCAAUCGCUUCGGUGGCAAGAACCUGUCGCCUGAAGGUCAUCUCGAUAGGAGUCAGAAAGAUGAUCGCGGGGAUAGUUUCGCGCCCGAAGAAAUGUUGGACCUGGAUUGACGAUGCGCGACGAAGGCCUCUGCAGAAAUGGUCUUUUACUUCUGGGCUUACUUGUUCUUUGUCUGCGAUUCUCUUCUGAAGGUGUUCGUGCGUUGCUUCGGAUUCUCUUCGGUGCAUACAAAGAGCACAGUUUGCAAAGAGGCAAGAAAAAGAGUCUCGACGAGACGAUGACGAUGACGAGGAUCGAGGUCAGAGGUGAUACGAAUUGAUUUGUAGGGGGACGAACGAAAGCUUGCCGAGGUCCCGUGAAAUGGAUGAAACGCAAACUUUUCAACGUGCCAGUGUGGAGAGGGCGAUUUCUUCCCUAUCGACUCUAUCCCCAUCCCCUUUACGAUCGUUCCAACCCUUUUGCGCGAACGACGCUCCCGGAUAGACUUCUUGAAAAGAGCAACGGUAUUUUCUGACUUCCCUCCGUACAAUCGCGUUACCUGCAUAUUAAAAUCUCGUUAACGCCGUCGCUUAAAAUUAUCUUGCGCCUUCCUUUAUUCUUCUCGCCGACUUUAACGCGUAGCCGCCGGAUAGGUUGUGUAAUCGAUGCAACACUAGUGUAUAUUUUUUUUAUUUACUCUUUAAUUCAUCCUUCAACAAGUGUGUGAAAUUGUAAUAUAAUUGAUUUAUAGAGAAAGCAUUAAAGAGUAAUUAUAUAUAUUAAUGAAAUUCUCAUGAUUACAUUCUUCUUGAACAAUUGUCAAAUGGUAAAAAGUCGCAGAAUUAUUAAUUUUGCCACUGAAAAAUAUAUAUAAAAAUCUGGGUCAAUUCUUCAUUAAAAAUGCAUAUACACGUCGUCAUGUAUAUUUCAUAAAAUUGUUAACAAUGCAUAAAAAGCUUUGUAAACGGCAUGUUUGAUUCAUUAGAACAAGCGUUUCUAUCAAAUUACAAGACGCAAAUAUCACCUGAAUUUUUCACGUCCUGUUACAUUCUGUAGAUAUGCACGGUACACAGUACAUAUUAUGCCGGAUAACUCUCUGAAUACGGGCUGCUUGUCAAUUGAUAAGGACGGCUAAUCAAAAUUAAUGCGGCCAUCGUUAACGACGACGGUGUCGAACUUUCCCCAAGAUCCAUUCGUCUCUUUCGAGGAGGAUCGGACUUGACCAGGUUCGAGCGAAACCCAACGGUCCUACCGCGGGAAUAUCCAGACGUUUGUCAAACGUUUUCUUGCCGCGACUUGUCGGAAUCGGCCCCCGACAAAUUGGCUGGCCUGGCAAAAAGCGAGACCGAGCUUUCGGCGUGUGUCUGUAUAUGUCCCACGUUGGCUGUUACGGUUAGAGGCGAAUCCCUUUCGUCGCUUUUUGUCGGAUCUGGCAGAACUCUCUCGCGGCAGUUUGCGCGCAAGAUUUCUCUAUUACGCGUAAUGAAACGACGCGGUUACGUCCGAAAACAGAACGGCGGGACGGAUAAUUCAUAGCGGCCGCCGAGAAUGGACGAGUUCUGGCUGUUUUGAUACCGCCGGAACGGUGGAAAGCUCGCCGAGAAGUUAAAUGUGCAAUUAUAGCGA